rnacentral:misc_RNA from 1 species
GAUGAAGAACGCAGCGAAAUGCGAUAAGUAAUGUGAAUUGCAGAAUUCAGUGAAUCAUCGAAUCUUUGAACGCACAUUGCGCCCCCUGGUAUUCCGGGGGGCAUGCCUGUCCGAGCGUCAUUACAACCCUCAAGCUCAGCUUGGUGUUGGGCCCCGCCGCCCCGGCGGGCCCGAAAGUCAGUGGCGGUGCCGUCCGGCUCCGAGCGUAGUAAUUCUUCUCGCUCUGGAGGUCCGGUCGUGUGCUCGCCAGCAACCCCCAAUUUUUUUCAGGUUGACCUCGGAUCAGGUAGGGAUACCCGCUGAACUUAAGCAUAUCAAUAAGCGGAGGA